rnacentral:rRNA from 1 species
AGUUCGGAUUGCAGGCUGCAACUCGCCUGCAUGAAGCUGGAAUUGCUAGUAAUCGCGGAUCAGCAAGCCGCGGUGAAUACGUUCCCGGGGCCUUGUACACACCGCCCGUCACACCAUGAGAGUCGGGAACACCCGAAGUCCGUAGUCUAACCGCAAGGGGGGCGCGGCCGAAGGUGGGGUCCGGGUAAUUGGGGGUGAAGUCGUAACAAGGUAAC